AAAAAAAAAAUCAUUCUUUUUUGACCAGUACCUCUAUCACAAUGUGACAGUUUGAGCUUCAAGAGCCCUCUUCUUUAUAAAUGAUGAAGAAAUACAAGCUUGGAUAUUAUAAUUUAUUUUUCCUGCUUCUCUAGUUUGCUAUUUCAUCAGGAGCUGCUGCAGUUGCUGCAAUCAGUUCAGGGAAAAGGCCUGAGAAUGCUGGAAAGCUCAUUAAAGUUAUAUUUCCAAGCUUUGGUGAGAAGUAUGUACCUACAGUUCUUUUUCAAGCAAUAUAUGAAAAGUCUCAAAAUAAGCAAACAAGAUAGUCAAGAUAUCUCAGAAGUUGGAGAAUUUCUUGUAUUUUCAAUUGCCUACCAUUGUCUUACCUCAGUGGGUAAAUUGUUUAGACUUUACAUGAUUUUCAGUGAAUGUUAUUGGAUCACUUAAGCUGAAUCCUCUCUCUCUGCAGGUGGUUUAAUUUUUUGGGAAAUUCAGAGAAGCAGAAUUUUAAUGUAGAUCAAAAGUCCAAUAUAGAUUUUGUUUUCUUUCAUAUUUUGGUCUCCCUUUUUCUGUAAGGCUGACCAAAGAUGCCGGGAUGCUUAUCAUGUCAUCACAUGCUACAACCUAUCACUGCAGGGUAGAUUUGGAUCAAACAGUCAUGUCAGCAAUGAAGCUGUUGUAGCUUGUAAAAAUUUCAUGCCUUACUAUGCAUCAGAAUUCAGAAUCUAGUGUAAAUUCUUAAAGAACUCACCGCCUAAUGGCAUAUAAGUUCUUCUGAUCGCAUCACACAGAAUAAGAUAGAUGAACCAUUUCCUUGUGGAAUAAAAUUUCAGAUAUCAGCUUCUUGCC